rnacentral:rRNA from 1 species
UAGGGAAUCUUCCACAAUGGGCGAAAGCCUGAUGGAGCAACGCCGCGUGAGCGAGGAAGGUCUUCGGAUCAUAAAGCUCUGUUGUAAGGGAAGAACAAGUGCAGUAGUAACUACCUGCACCCUGACGGUACCUUACUAGAAAGCCACGGCUAACUACGUGCCAGCAGCCGCGGUAAUACGUAGGUGGCAAGCGUUGUCCGGAAUUAUUGGGCGUAAAGCGCGCGCAGGCGGUUUCUUAAGUCUGAUGUGAAAGCCCCCGGCUUAAACGGGGAGGGUCAUUGGAAACUGGGAGACUUGAGUGCAGGAGAGGGAAGCGGAAUUCCAUGUGUAGCGGUGAAAUGCGUAGAGAUAUGGAGGAACACCAGUGGCGAAGGCGGCUUCCUGGCCUGUAACUGACGCUGAGGCGCGAAAGCGUGGGGAGCAAACAG